ACGCUGGCGGCAGGCUUAACACAUGCAAGUCGAACGGUAACAGGGGAAAGCUUGCUUUCUUGCUGACGAGUGGCGAACGGGUGAGUAAUGCUUGGGAAUCUGGCUUAUGGAGGGGGAUAACGACGGGAAACUGUCGCUAAUACCGCGUAGAGUCGAGAGACGAAAGUGUGGGACCGCAAGGCCACAUGCCAUGAGAUGAGCCCAAGUGGGAUUAGGUAGUUGGUGGGGUAAAGGCCUACCAAGCCGACGAUCUCUAGCUGGUCUGAGAGGAUGACCAGCCACACCGGGACUGAGACACGGCCCGGACUCCUACGGGAGGCAGCAGUGGGGAAUAUUGCGCAAUGGGGGCAACCCUGACGCAGCCGUGCCGCGUGAAUGAAGAAGGCCUUCGGGUUGUAAAGUUCUUUCGGUGACGAGGAAGGUUGUUGUGUUAAUAGCGCAACAAAUUGACGUUAAUCACAGAAGAAGCACCGGCUAACUCCGUGCCAGCAGCCGCGGUAAUACGGAGGGUGCGAGCGUUAAUCGGAAUAACUGGGCGUAAAGGGCACGCAGGCGGCUAUUUAAGUGAGGUGUGAAAUCCCCGGGCUUAACCUGGGAAUUGCAUUUCAGACUGGGUAGCUAGAGUACUUUAGGGAGGGGUAGAAUUCCACGUGUAGCGGUGAAAUGCGUAGAGAUGUGGAGGAAUACCGAAGGCGAAGGCAGCCCCUUGGGAAUGUACUGACGCUCAUGUGCGAAAGCGUGGGGAGCAAACAGGAUUAGAUACCCUGGUAGUCCACGCUGUAAACGCUGUCGAUUUGGGGAUUGGGCUUUAAGCUUGGUGCCCGUAGCUAACGUGAUAAAUCGACCGCCUGGGGAGUACGGCCGCAAGGUUAAAACUCAAAUGAAUUGACGGGGGCCCGCACAAGCG
rnacentral:rRNA from 1 species